rnacentral:sRNA from 1 species
UGAUCUCCUGAUCAUCUUUUCGCUUGGCAUGAUAAUAAAAAACUGAGGUGCUGAUACAAAAAAGUAUGCAGGCCUGCCGAAGGCUCAUCUGGAAUGUCUCUCGGGCAUAUCCAACAAGCUCACGCUUUUCGACAGGCCCU